AUGCAAGACUACUUCGCGGGGAAUCCAAUGUAUCCACCGCACCUCUUCCGGAGAAGGUACCGAAUGCACCGAUCCCUCUUUGUCAAAAUUGUUCCAGCUUGUGAGGCAAAUUGUCGGUAUUUUACUCAGAGAAGAAAUGAUGCGGGCUUAAAGGGAUUUAGUGCAUAUCAAAAAUCUUCGCGGCAAUGCGGGUGA
rnacentral:rRNA from 1 species